rnacentral:rRNA from 1 species
UGCGUAGGUGGUAUGGCAAGUCAGAAGUGAAAACCCAGGGCUCAACUCUGGGACUGCUUUUGAAACUGUCAGACUGGAGUGCAGGAGAGGUAAGCGGAAUUCCUAGUGUAGCGGUGAAAUGCGUAGAUAUUAGGAGGAACAUCAGUGGCGAAGGCGGCUUACUGGACUGAAACUGACACUGAGGCACGAAAGCGUGGGAGCAAACA